GCUUCUACUCAGCUGUAUUUCUGUUACUAAUUUAUGUUUGUUGUUGCUUAACACAGAUUUCAGAAGAGCAAAUAUGAGCACUGUUGCUUAAUCCUUAAUAGUUUAAAGCAGGACUGGAUUGGAAAUUUAAAAAAAAUCCAGAUUCUUCUUCCACAGAAGUUUCAUUUGUCAGUGUGGGACUGCUGAGUCACCUGAAGAACUCAUUUCAUUCUCCAUGAUGUUCAUUUACAGAAAUGUUUCACAGGAACUGAUUCCUCCCAAAGGGUACAGUACGUGAUAUUAAGGGCAGGCGGUCAUCAAUGGGGGAAGAAAAGAAGCAGACGUACUUCCAAGAGGGAGCUGCAGUGAGGACACAGCCUGUCACUGAGGUCAGAGGAGGCGCUGAAAGGUUUCCCUAAUAGUUCCUGGUGAAUCAAAGCAGAACCAUAAAGGUUGCUGGACUGCAUGAUGGCCUUACCCCUGAGCAGUCAUCCUGUUAAAGGAGGAACCAGUUAGAAGCUGUUUUCAAAGUAGCUGAGCAGAUUUCAUCUCAACAGACAAAGCCGAUGGCAGAAGAUGUUUGGAGAAGAACUUCAGGCCGUGGACUGAAAAGUAGAUCAAAGCAGCUCGUGCUCCUUCUGCUUCCAUUUUGAUGGCAAGAAGAAGAAGAAGAAUGCUUCAGCGAAGUGGCGUUCAUGGUCUCAGUGGACAGUCAUGGUCACACACUGCAUGUGGUUUUAAAAGCAACAUGUCUGUUCACCACAACAAUGGAGAUGUGUAAUAUUAGUGCAGCUACAGUUUGUUCUUGAACAUCAGUUUUGUUUUCUACUUUGACCACUUAGACCAAAAAAAGUGUUGUUU